AGCGAACGCUGGCGGCAGGCCUAACACAUGCAAGUCGAACGAACUCGUCGGAGUUAGUGGCGGACGGGUGAGUAACACGGGGUAACGUGCCUGUUGGUUCGGUAUAACCCAGGGAAACUUAUGCUAAGACAGCAUGUGCCCUUCGUGGGAAAGAUUUAUCGCCAUUAGAGCGGCCCGCGUCUGAUUAGCUAGUUGGUGAGGUAACGGCUGAGCAAGGCGACGAUCAGUAGCUGGUCUGAGAGGAUGACCAGCAACACUGGGACUGAGACACGGCGCAGAAUCCUACGGGAGGGAGCAGUGGGGAAUCUUGCGCAAUGGGCGAAAGCCUGAAGCAGCCAUGCCGCGUGAAUGAUGAAGGUCUUAGGAUUGUAAAAUUCUUUCACCGGGGACGAUAAUGACGGUACCCGGAGAAGAAGCCCCGGCUAACUUCGUG
rnacentral:rRNA from 1 species